rnacentral:lncRNA from 1 species
UUGGGUCGACCCAACUCACUGUUCAUCUGUGCCAUUUUUGUAGAAGUGUGCCAAAUGAUUUCUUGAUGUGCCGGGGUCGACCUAAUCAUCCUUUGGGUCGACGCAAUCCACACUUUGCUGCAUCUCAAGGUUAGAUUCAUUCAAAUGAACAAGGUCAUGUAUCUAUUUUCAAUUAACCAAAUAUACUGAGAGUAAUGAACUUAUAAAUGAAGUAUCAAUUUAACUUAUAGCAUACUCUAGAUAAUUGCUUGUUAAUCAUCAAAAUAACACUAUCAUCCUCA